GUAGGGAAUAUUGCACAAUGGGGGAAACCCUGAUGCAGCGACGCCGCGUGAGUGAUGAAGGCCUUCGGGUCGUAAAGCUCUGUCGUAUGGGACUAACACAAUGAAGGUACCAUGCAAGAAAGGAUCGGCUAACUUCGUGCCAGCAGCCGCGGUAAGACGAGGGAUCCUAGCGUUGUUCGGAAUCAUUGGGCGUAAAGCGGGUGUAGGCGGAUUUAUAAGUCAGGUGUGAAAUCCCAGGGCUCAACCCUGGAAGUGCACUUGAUACUGUAAAUCUUGAGUGUGGUAGAGGUUACUGGAAUUGUUGGUGUAGUGGUGAAAUACGUAGAUAUCAACAGGAAUACCGGAGGCGAAGGCGAGUAACUGGGCCAACACUGACGCUGAGUCCCGAAAGCGUGGGGAUCAAACAGGAUUAGAAACCCUUGUAGUCC
rnacentral:rRNA from 1 species